GUACUUCUACCCCAGUUCUCCCGUCAACCCCUGCUUGAUCGUCGCUGCUCCUAACCUGGUUCACUCACCUCUGUCCUCCAUUCCAUCAGCUGGGCUCGCCACCCUGUCCUCUCCCCACGGACCUCUUCCACAGCGUCCUCCCAGCUCCUCCCCGUGCCUCCUUACUUCCUCGGUCCCCAGUGCCCCCGGCUCCCUUUUCUCAGUGUCCUCGGUUCCCCGUGCCCAUGUUUCCCCGGCGUCCGCCUCUCCCUCACCUCCACUCCCUCAACCCCUUUUUCCCUUCAAUAAAACCUGUUCAUCCCGAG